rnacentral:rRNA from 1 species
CCUACGGGGGGCUGCAGUGGGGAAUAUUGGACAAUGGGGGCAACCCUGAUCCAGCCAUGCCGCGUGUGUGAAGAAGGCCCUCGGGUUGUAAAGCACUUUCAGUGAGGAAGAACGCCUGGUGGUUAAUACCCAUCAGGAAAGACAUCACUCACAGAAGAAGCACCGGCUAACUCCGUGCCAGCAGCCGCGGUAAUACGGAGGGUGCGAGCGUUAAUCGGAAUUACUGGGCGUAAAGCGCGCGUAGGUGGCUUGAUAAGCCGGUUGUGAAAGCCCCGGGCUCAACCUGGGAACGGCAUCCGGAACUGUCAAGCUAGAGUGCAGGAGAGGAAGGUAGAAUUCCCGGUGUAGCGGUGAAAUGCGUAGAGAUCGGGAGGAAUACCAGUAGCGAAGGCGGCCUUCUGGACUGACACUGACACUGAGGUGCGAAAGCGUGGGUAGCAAACAGGAUUAGAUACCCCGGUAGUC